rnacentral:rRNA from 1 species
AACGAACGCUGGCGGCAUGCCUAACACAUGCAAGUCGAACGAGACCUUCGGGGCUAGUGGCGCACGGGUGCGUAACGCGUGGGAACCUGCCCUUAGGUUCGGAAUAACUCCCCGAAAGGGGUGCUAAUACCGGAUAAUGUCUUCGGACCAAAGAUUUAUCGCCUUUGGAUGGGCCCGCGUUGGAUUAGCUAGUUGGUAGGGUAAAAGCCUACCAAGGCGACGAUCCAUAGCUGGUCGGAGAGGAUGAUCAGCCACACUGGGACUGAGACACGGCCCAGACUCCUACGGGAGGCAGCAGUGGGGAAUAUUGGACAAUGGGCGAAAGCCUGAUCCAGCAAUGCCGCGUGAGUGAUGAAGGCCUUAGGGUUGUAAAGCUCUUUUACCCGGGAUGAUAAUGACAGUACCGGGAGAAUAAGCUCCGGCUAACUCCGUG